UUAUUCAGAUAAUCUGCAGCACAUAUACUGGUGUUGGGGUGAUACAGGGAAGAUUAGCAUGGCCUCUACACAAAGAUGUCACACAAUAAAUGUUGUAUUCCAUAUUUAA